GACGUAGGGGACGAGCGUUGUCCGGAUUUAUUGGGCGUAAAGGGCGUGUAGGCGGUUCGGUAAGUGGGAUGUGAAAUGCCCCGGCUCACCCGGGGACCGGCAUCCCAAACUGCCAGACUUGAGUAUGGGAGAGGAUGAGGGAAUUCCUGGUGUAGCGGUGAAAUGCGUAGAUAUCAGGAGGAACACCGGUGGCGAAGGCGCUCAUCUGGCCCAAUACUGACGCUGAUGCGCGAAAGCUAGGGGAGCAAACGGG
rnacentral:rRNA from 1 species